rnacentral:rRNA from 1 species
UACAGAGGGUGCGAGCGUUAAUCGGAAUUACUGGGCGUAAAGCGCGCGUAGGCGGCUUUGCAAGUCGGGUGUGAAGUCCCCAGGCUUAACCUGGGAACUGCAUCCGAGACUGCAUUGCUAGAGUAUGGGAGAGGGAAGUGGAAUUUCAGGUGUAGCGGUGAAAUGCGUAGAUAUCUGAAGGAACAUCAGUGGCGAAAGCGACUUCCUGGACCAAUACUGACGCUCAUGUGCGAAAGCGUGGGGAGCAAACAGG